AGCUCCAGUAGCGUAUAUUAACGUUGUUGCAGUUAAAAAGCUCGUAGUUGGAUUUCUGGCCUGACGAGUUUGGCCCGCCACCGCAAGGUGCGUGAGUGCCGAUACACGUCUGCCAUCCUUCUAGAAAACGGUUCUACCCUUCAUUGGGAGGGAACCGCGAUCUAGAUCUUUUACUUUGAAAAAAUUAGAGUGUUCAAAGCAGGCUCGCGCUAUGAAUACAUUAGCAUGGAAUAAUAACAUAGGACUUUGGUUCUAUUUUGUUGGUUUCUAGGACUAAAGUAAUGAUUGAUAGGGAUAGUUGGGGGUGCUAGUAUUCAGUGGCCAGAGGUGAAAUUCUUGGAUUCACUGAAGACUAACCUAUGCGAAAGCAUUCACCAAGGAUGUCUUCUUUAAUCAAGAA
rnacentral:rRNA from 1 species